UACGUAGGGUCCGAGCGUUGUCCGGAAUUACUGGGCGUAAAGAGCUCGUAGGUGGUUUGUCGCGUUGUUCGUGAAACUCACAGCUCAACUGUGGGCGUGCGGCGAUACGGGCAGACUAGAGUACUGCAGGGAGACUGGAAUUCCUGGUGUAGCGGUGGAAUGCGCAGAUAUCAGGAGGAACACCGGUGGCGAAGGCGGGUCUCUGGGCAGUAACUGACGCUGAGGAGCGAAAGCGUGGGGAGCGAACAGG
rnacentral:rRNA from 1 species